CCUUACCAGGUCUUGACAUCCCGAUGCUAUUUCUAGAGAUAGAAGUUACUUCGGUACAUCGGUGACAGGUGGUGCAUGGUUGUCGUCAGCUCGUGUCGUGAGAUGUUGGGUUAAGUCCCGCAACGAGCGCAACCCCUAUCGUUAGUUGCCAUCAUUCAGUUGGGCACUCUAGCGAGACUGCCGGUAAUAAACCGGAGGAAGUGGGGAUGACGUCAAAUCAUCAUGCCCCUUAUGACCUGGGCUACACACGUGCUACAAUGGUUGGUACAACGAGUUGCGAGUCGGUGACGGCGAGCUAAUCUCUUAAAGCCAAUCUCAGUUCGGAUUGUAGGCUGCAACUCGCCUACAUGAAGUCGGAAUCGCUAGUAAUCGCGGAUCAGCACGCCGCGGUGAAUACGUUCCCGGGCCUU
rnacentral:rRNA from 1 species